GAGUUUGAUCCUGGCUCAGGACGAACGCUGGCGGCGUGCUUAACACAUGCAAGUCGAACGGUGAAGCCUUUCGGGGUGGAUCAGUGGCGAACGGGUGAGUAACACGUGAGCAAUCUGCCCUUGACUCUGGGAUAACUUCGGGAAACCGGAGCUAAUACCGGAUAUGACACAUGGCCGCAUGGUUUGUGUGUGGAAAGAUUUAUUGGUCAGGGAUGAGCUCGCGGCCUAUCAGCUUGUUGGUGGGGUAAUGGCCUACCAAGGCGACGACGGGUAGCCGGCCUGAGAGGGCGACCGGCCACACUGGGACUGAGACACGGCCCAGACUCCUACGGGAGGCAGCAGUGGGGAAUAUUGCGCAAUGGGCGAAAGCCUGACGCAGCGACGCCGCGUGAGGGAUGAAGGCCUUCGGGUCGUAAACCUCUUUCAGCAGGAAGAAGCGAGAGUGACGGUACCUGCAGACGAAGCACCGGCUAACUACGUAGCCAGCCGCCGCGGU
rnacentral:rRNA from 1 species